CCACUUGCUUUAGAAAUGCUGUUGACGGAUAAGCAACUGUGGAAAAAUGGGUUUCUUCCUUUGCACCUAGCCCUUCUGUUGUUAUGUUCCCUUGGAAAUUUUAAAGUCUCUGCCUGGAUUGCAGUCUCUUGUGUUGCCUGUCAUGUCCUUGCCUUAUUUUGCCCUGUCUGCUGUAAAAGUAACACCAGGAAUCUUGUCAAUUUUCCCCCAGCCACUGCUAAACCUACAAGUGGAUCUGCUGGAUCUUCAAAAAAUCUUCAUGUGGACCACGGACGCGGUCUCUGUGGGAAUAACAGCUUUCAUAUGCAGCAAUGUCCUCACUCCCGACAGACCAGGAUCCCCUUUCCAGAGUAAUGGAGGAGCACCGUGAUUCUUUAAUCAAAAGUUACCGGAUUUGAAUGAAAUGCUAUAGAGAGGCUCUGGAAAUCAUUCAGUGUUCACAAUUGACUGAUCUUGAUUCUUGAGCAUGAAAGAGCUCAAGUCCUUGGAGCCAUCAUUGUGAUUCAGCAGAAAACAGAAGAAAGAAGCAGAGAUCUCGAAAGUCAA